rnacentral:rRNA from 1 species
AGUGAACGCUGGCGGCAGGCCUAAUACAUGCAAGUCGAACGGCAGCACAGUGGAGCUUGCUCCAUGGGUGGCGAGUGGCGGACGGGUGAGGAAUACAUGGGAAUCUGCCCAGUCGUGGGGGAUAACGUAGGGAAACUUACGCUAAUACCGCAUGCGCCCUUCGGGGAAAGCCGGGGACCGUAAGGCCUGGCGCGAUUGGAUGAGCCCAUGUCGGAUUAGCUAGUUGGCGGGGUAACGGCCCACCAAGGCGACGAUCCGUAGCUGGUCUGAGAGGAUGAUCAGCCACACUGGAACUGAGACACGGUCCAGACUCCUACGGGAGGCAGCAGUAGGGAAUAUUGGACAAUGGGCGCAAGCCUGAUCCAGCCAUGCCGCGUGAGUGAAGAAGGCCCUCGGGUUGUAAAGCUCUUUUGUCCGGAAAGAAAAGCACUGGGUUAAUACCCCGGUGUCCUGACGGUACCGGAAGAAUAAGCACCGGCUAACUUCGUGCCAGCAG